rnacentral:tRNA from 1 species
GGCUGGAUAGCUCAUUAGGUUAGAGCGUCGUGCUAAUAACGUGAAUGUCGAGGGUUUGAGCCCCUCUCUGGCCA